UCCACUUCUGUCAAUGAUGCAGAUAGAAUAUAGUAUGAGAUUAUGAUGAUUAUCACAAAUUCUCAUUCGUCACUACCUCUGAGACAGAAAUGGA
rnacentral:snoRNA from 15 species